UAUCCGGUUCGGAGAAAAAUGGUUGAUCAAAGAUCACGAAGACGUUAACAAACAGUUUUAAUACUUUUUAUGGACAAUCGGUGAAUAUUUAUAGUAUACUGCAUCAUUACAAUCAAAGCGACCUAGAAGAAAAAGAAGUAAAAGCUCUACAGAAUCAGUUAAUGCAAGAUCUAAGAAACGAGUAUCUGAAUCAUCCAGCUCAUCUGACUCUGAUAUAGUUGACACUGAACUUCAAAGACCUGCUCCACUUCGCAAUAGGAGAACAAGGCUGAGACCAACCAAUUUUUUGGGUAGAAGUAUUCAAACAGGAAUGGAUAAUUGACGAACAAUUAGGUAAAAAAGAGUGGUACAAAGGAACUAUUCUUUAUGUAUUGUCUGGGACUUAUGGCAAUUUGAAUGCUGUUUAUGAGAUCAAAUAUGAAGGAGAGGAUGUGGCUUAUGAAAUAGACCAUUUAAUUCAAGAUUACCAGUCUGGAUCUGUUGAGUUUUGUGAUGUAUAGCUUAACUUCAGUUUAGAUAAACAGGUACAUUACCUAGAAAUUAUUAAUUAUACAGUUUGUCAUGUU